UACAGAGGGGGCGAGCGUUGUUCGGAAUUACUGGGCGUAAAGGGUUCGUAGGUGGCCUACUAAGUCAUACGUGAAAUCCCUCAGCUUAACUGGGGAACUGCGUCUGAGACUGGAAGGCUUGAGUGCAGGAGAGGAACGCGGAAUUCCAGGUGUAGCGGUGAAAUGCGUAGAGAUCGGUGAGGAAGACCCGGUGGCGAAGGCGGCGACUGGUCGUG
rnacentral:rRNA from 1 species